AGUGAACGCUGGCGGUAGGCCUAACACAUGCAAGUCGAACGGCAGCACAGGAAAGCUUGCCCUCUAGGUGGCGAGUGGCGGACGGGUGAGGAAUACAUCUGAAUCUGCCCAUUCGCGGGGGGUAACGCAGGGAAACUUAUGCUAUUAUAGCAUACGCCCUCCGGGGGAAAGAGGAGGAGCGCAAGACCUCUCGCGAUUGGAUGUGCCGAUGUCGGAUUAGCUAGUUGGCGGGGUAAUGGCCCACCAAGGCGACGAUCCGUAGCUGGUCUGAGAGGAUGAUCAGCCACACUGGAACUGAGACACGGUCCAGACUCCUACGGGAGGCAGCAGUGGGGAAUAUUGGACAAUGGGCGCAAGCCUGAUCCAGCCAUACCGCGUGGGUGAAGAAGGCCUUCGGGUUGUAAAGCCCUUUUGUUGGGAAAGAAAUCUUUCAGGCUAAUACCCUGGGAGGAUGACGGUACCCAAAGAAUAAGCACCGGCUAACUUCGUG
rnacentral:rRNA from 1 species